CAUCUCCUAAGGCUAAAUACUCUCUAGUGACCGAUAGUGAACCAGUACCGUGAGGGAAAGGUGAAAAGCACCCCGGAAGGGGAGUGAAAUAGAACCUGAAACCGUGUGCUUACAAGUAGUCAGAGCCCGUUAAUGGGUGAUGGCGUGCCUUUUGUAGAAUGAACCGGCGAGUUACGAUUUGAUGCAAGGUUAAGCAGUAAAUGUGGAGCCGUAGCGAAAGCGAGUCUGAAUAGGGCGUUUAGUAUUUGGUCGUAGACCCGAAACCAGGUGAUCUACCCUUGGUCAGGUUGAAGUUCAGGUAACACUGAAUGGAGGACCGAACCGACUUACGUUGAAAAGUGAGCGGAUGAACUGAGGGCAGCGGAGAAAUUCCAAUCGAACCUGGAGAUAGCUGGUUCUCUCCGAAAUAGCUUUAGGGCUAGCCUCAAGUGAUGAUUAUUGGAGGUAGAGCACUGUUUGGACGAGGGGCCCCUCUCGGGUUACCGAAUUCAGACAAACUCCGAAUGCCAAUUAAUUUAACUUGGGAGUCAGAACAUGGGUGAUAAGGUCCGUGUUCGAAAGGGAAACAGCCCAGACCACCAGCUAAGGUCCCAAAAUAUAUGUUAAGUGGAAAAGGAUGUGGCGUUGCCCAGACAACUAGGAUGUUGGCUUAGAAGCAGCCAUCAUUUAAAGAGUGCGUAAUAGCUCACUAGUCGAGUGACACUGCGCCGAAAAUGUACCGGGGCUAAACAUAUUACCGAAGCUGUGGAUUGUCCUUUGGACAAUGGUAGGAGAGCGUUCUAAGGGCGUUGAAGCAUGAUCGUAAGAACAUGUGGAGCGCUUAGAAGUGAGAAUGCCGGUGUGAGUAGCGAAAGACGGGUGAGAAUCCCGUCCACCGAUUGACUAAGGUUUCCAGAGGAAGGCUCGUCCGCUCUGGGUUAGUCGGGUCCUAAGCUGAGGCCGACAGGCGUAGGCGAUGGAUAACAGGUUGAUAUUCCUGUACCACCUAUAAUCGUUUUAAUCGAUGGGGGGACGCAGUAGGAUAGGCGAAGCGUGCGAUUGGAUUGCACGUCUAAGCAGUAAGGCUGAGUAUUAGGCAAAUCCGGUACUCGUUAAGGCUGAGCUGUGAUGGGGAGAAGACAUUGUGUCUUCGAGUCGUUGAUUUCACACUGCCGAGAAAAGCCUCUAGAUAGAAAAUAGGUGCCCGUACCGCAAACCGACACAGAUAGUCAAGAUGAGAAUUCUAAGGUGAGCGAGCGAACUCUCGUUAAGGAACUCGGCAAAAUGACCCCGUAACUUCGGGAGAAGGGGUGCUCUUUAGGGUUAACGCCCAGAAGAGCCGCAGUGAAUAGGCCCAAGCGACUGUUUAUCAAAAACACAGGUCUCUGCUAAACCGUAAGGUGAUGUAUAGGGGCUGACGCCUGCCCGGUGCUGGAAGGUUAAGAGGAGUGGUUAGCUUCUGCGAAGCUACGAAUCGAAGCCCCAGUAAACGGCGGCCGUAACUAUAACGGUCCUAAGGUAGCGAAAUUCCUUGUCGGGUAAGUUCCGACCCGCACGAAAGGCGUAACGAUUUGGGCACUGUCUCAACGAGAGACUCGGUGAAAUCAUAGUACCUGUGAAGAUGCAGGUUACCCGCGACAGGACGGAAAGACCCCGUGGAGCUUUACUGUAGCCUGAUAUUGAAAUUCGGCACAGCUUGUACAGGAUAGGUAGGAGCCUUUGAAACGUGAGCGCUAGCUUACGUGGAGGCGCUGGUGGGAUACUACCCUAGCUGUGUUGGCUUUCUAACCCGCACCACUUAUCGUGGUGGGAGACAGUGUCAGGCGGGCAGUUUGACUGGGGCGGUCGCCUCCUAAAAGGUAACGGAGGCGCUCAAAGGUUCCCUCAGAAUGGUUGGAAAUCAUUCAUAGAG
rnacentral:rRNA from 1 species